rnacentral:pre_miRNA from 13 species
GGCGGCGGGAUCGUGGGGCCCGGGCCCGGCUGAGGUAGUAGUUUGUGCUGUUGGUCGGGCUGGGACACUGCCCGCUGUGGAGAUAACUGCGCAAGCUACUGCCUUGCCGGUGCCGGGCCGAAGCCCAACGCCGACGA